rnacentral:rRNA from 1 species
AACGAACGCUGGCGGCAGGCCUAACACAUGCAAGUCGAACGCUCGUAGCAAUACGGGAGUGGCAGACGGGUGCGUAACGCGUGGGAACAUACCCUUUGGUUCGGAAUAACUCAGGGAAACUUGAGCUAAUACCGGAUACGCCCGAGAGGGGAAAGAUUUAUUGCCGAAGGAUUGGCCCGCGUCUGAUUAGCUUGUUGGUAGGGUAACGGCCUACCAAAGGCGACGAUCAGUAGCUGGUCUGAGAGGAUGAUCAGCCACACUGGGACUGAGACACGGCCCAGACUCCUACGGGAGGCAGCAGUGGGGAAUAUUGGACAAUGGGCGCAAGCCUGAUCCAGCCAUUCCGCGUGCAGGAUGAAGGCCUUCGGGUU